rnacentral:rRNA from 1 species
UAUAAUUUAAAGUAGGACCUGCCCACUGAAUAAAAUUUGAAGGGCCGCAGUAUUUUGACUGUGCAAAGGUAGCAUAAUCAUUAGUUUUUUAAUUGAAAGCUUGUAUGAAUGGUUUGAUGAGAAGAUAACUUUCUAAAUUUUAUUAUUUAAAAAUUUUAUUUUUAAGUUAAAAAGCUUAAAUUUUUUUAAAAGACGAGAAGACCCUAUAGAGUUUAAUUUAUAAAAGAUUUUUAAUUUAAAGAAUUAUAAAAUUUAAAAUUUUUAUUAAAUUUGAUUGGGGUGAUAAAAAAAUUAGAUUAACUUUUUUAACUUUAACCAUUAAUUUAUG